rnacentral:rRNA from 1 species
AAUCAACGCUGGCGGCGUGCCUCAGACAUGCAAGUCGAACGAUUAAAGCUCUCUUCGGAGAGUGCAUAGAGUGGCGCACGGGUGAGUAACACGUAAGUAAUCUGCCUUUGAGUGGGGAAUAACAGUCGGAAACGAUUGCUAAUACCGCAUAACGCAGCGGCACCGCAAGGUGACAGUUGUUAAAGGAGCAAUCCGCUUAAAGAGGAGCUUGCGGCAGAUUAGCUUGUUGGUAAGGUAACGGCUUACCAAGGCUACGAUCUGUAUCCGGUCUAAGAGGACGGUCGGACACACUGACACUGAAUAACGGGUCAGACUCCUACGGGAGGCAGCAGUCGGGAAUUUUGGGCAAUGGGGGAAACCCUGACCCAGCAACGCCGCGUGAAGGAUGAAGUAUUUCGGUAUGUAAACUU